ACGCAUCCCUUUGACAGACCUGCAGCAAACACCCGUUGCUUCUCUGGUUCUUGUCGAGAUGUGACUGCAACGGGCUCCUUGCGCUUUCUGCCUGCCUGGCCUCGUGGCAGUCCGGAUUGAAGAAAGGAGCACAAAG
ensembl:snoRNA